ensembl:lncRNA
CAUACGUUGGCCCUACGUUGGCAAAACGUUGUGAGCCAACGCCGCAUAUCGUUGGCCUGACGGUGUGAGCCAACGCUGGCCCUACGACAUUUUGGCCGCUGGCCUAACGUUGGCACAUCGUUGGCAUAGCGACGUAACCGCGUCAUUUCGGCCGUAGGGCCACCGUUUGACCAACGUGCAUUAUCCCCAGAUGGCCACCGUUGGCUUAUAGCCAAUUGCCAACUUAUAAUUAAGGUAGCCAAAUUUUAUUAAUUUGCCUUUACCAAAUAAUUUGAAUUUCCUUUUAAUUAAAACUAGCAACAAGAGUUUUGAGUUCAAAAACCAUUCAAACAUCAUGGAAUUAAACCGGAAAGUGUUAACAUUUAUUAAAUACUUAUUAAAUACUUGUAAUGAUAAUGAUAAUAAUAAUAAGAAGAAGAAGAUGAAGAAUAAAUUAAUUAAAAAUGAUAAUAAUAAUAAUAAGAAGAUGAAGAAUAAAUUAAUUAAAAAUGAAUUAAAAUCCGAGUCGGUGUGCAGGCGGAAGGCGGGUCACUCCAGGCUGCUGCAGUCGUCGUCACUGUCGCUGCUAGUUGUAUCAUGAUCCAGGAUGACCGGGGAAGGACUCGGAGGAGGAAGACUGAACUGCUGGGGACCUGGAAUGUAGAAGAUCAUCGUUAAGCGUACAAUUUGGUGACAUGGGUUAAGCUCCAUGAAACUGUAAAAGGUUCAGCACAUCCCUCUUGCCCCUCAAACGCUUCAAGAGAAAGAGCAAGUAAGUCUCAUUUCCAGUAUUUGAUGGUUUGCUGUUCAUGCAUACCUUCAUGCACUCUGCUUUCUCUCCUCUUUCUUCCUCCACUCCGGUCACCGCUGCACUUCAGCCAGUUUUUAAUAACUGCCUCGCAGUCGCUGGCCGAAAUGUUCUGGCUAGCCGAUGCACCUAAACAGAGAAAGUGUAUUUAUUUAGUUUAUUUAACAUUGAUUUAUUGAGGAGGAAAGAUCCUUUGAGAUUAGUAAUCCGUUUUUCAUGUCCUGGCCAAUAAUACAAUGGUACAAAGUGCAUUACAAGUGUUUAAUGACGAUGCAUGCAGUACACUCCAUGGUUAUUCAAAAGAAAUGAAUCCAUUUCAUAAUUCAUAGCUCAAUGAGUGAUUUGUUUACAUACCUCUUACUACAUUGCACACCUUGUAGGAGGCAAAAGCUAGCUUCUUCCCUCCUCUGCCAAGCCAGUUGAAUUUCAGCACGAAGUGGUUGGUGAGGAUGUGGCGAAGGAUUCUUCGAACCGCGUCGCCAGGAUUGCAGCCCCCAAGCGCACUAAGGUGUGCUGCCUGCAGAAGAUCCUCCACCCUUUGAAGGUCUUCCUCGCAGUUCAUUGGGAACUUAAAUUCCUCAGAUAGAGUGUCUGCUGCUGCUGCUGCUGCUGUCGUUUUUUGCCUAGUAAGGGCCUGGAGGAGGAGGUUGUUCUGCCUCACCAAGGCCUUCAACUCCUCCACAGCACGCAGGAGUGCAUGAUCCCGUUCUACAGGACAGAAAAACAUCAUGACUGUCAUGUCAAGAGGUGCUCCUGGUUUGGGCUUUUUUCUGGUUCAUACGCGCUGCAUCAUAAUUGGCUGUUGAAGACAACAAUGAAGUGAGUAAAGCUUUUAAAGCCUAAGGGGAGAAAAGUGGUACAUCCUACUUUUGUCUGUCUCACCAAAGGUUUUCACCACCUCCACAAAAAACUCCCCAGUUCUCAUCUGGCAUAGCGCUUUGGAUGACUGCAAUUUUCGUCCGCUUGGUGUCUUUAUACGGUGGCCAAAAAGACACCUUGCCGUCCAAACUUAGCCACGAGCAAGGCACAACCUCCACCUCAUUUGACUCGGUUCCCAACCACAGCUGUCCCCAGUGCAGUUGAAUCAACAGGGUGGUUGAAAAAUGGACGUUGGUCUAAAUAUUGCCUCGCCACAAAAGACAUACCACCAAGUGUCCUGCUAAUUGCCUCUAUUUUAAAAGUGGCACCACCACACGAAACUGUGUUGUUCCCAUCCUUUGUGGACAGGGUAAAUCUAUCAGUGGCGUACUGUGUUGUUGAGGGUGAACUUUGGUUAUGGGAAGAUGGACAGACUGGGUUGAUGCUUGAUUUUUCCGUUAAUCGUUUAACAAUUUGUUGUAAUGUCUGGUUUGGCUUUCUAAUUAGUUUCUUUAAUUUAUACAAGAAAUUUUCGAAGGGAAAGGCAGAAAUUUGGGGUAGUGGGCCAUAUUUUCUAACAUCACUUGCCAGGUGGAUCAAGCUGUGGACGUUAUACACCAGAAAGUCCCCAUAGAUGGCGUGAAAAUUCUGAACGAACACUACCAGGAGAUUUUCCGUAUAGUCACAAUAACGGUGGUGGAGACGGGGGGAACAUAAAAUUGUUAUUGCUACGUGGAGUAAAAGAAAAUGUUGAUACAUGUGUUUUGGUAGGUUUUUUUUUUAAUGCAAUGGGGCCAGUGUAUAGUAAAAAAGUCCUAAAUUCAGUGGCCUUCCACCGAUCAACCUCACGGAGGGACCUUCCCUUGCGUCCAAACUCCUUUGGCAGCCUCUUGCCCAAUUUGAUUAAGUUCUCUGAAAUAAUGCAGAUGGAUUGACUCCCAAUGCGGGUUGGAAGGGGCCCUCUCUGCCACAGCCAGAUCAACUUUCUCAUCACUCCUAGGCACACCAGGUGCAUAAAGUCCAGCACAAAUUGGGUCACCAAGCCUACAUCUAGGUGUUGUAAUGGACUGUCGCCCUCUUUGUGAUGUUCCUGGUUGACUUUUGUGGCAAAACUGUCAUCGGUUCUGAGAACCGCAUCUGUUUCGGAGUAAUUUAGGCGUCGGUUUGCCCAUGAGCCCUCUUGCAUGCACCUUUCGCAGCCGUAAUAGGAAUUGUGUGCUUUUAUGUUUUUUAGAAAUGCCCUUGCCGGUGCAUCACAGACAAAACAGGAAAUUUCGAUUUUUUUUUUUUGACUGAUACUCCAAGCCAUCAGAUGCAAGCUUCCCCAUCUCUGCCACAAAGUCAGAGAGGUACUCGCUUGCAUCGGUUGGCUUGGAGUAUCCGCAAUAUAAACCAAUUAGAAAUGGGGAUCUAAUGGGGUCCUCUUCAAUUAGUGCAAGAAUUGGCCAAAAUUGCUGGCUGCUGCUUUUAAAAAGGGCCAGGCCAUCCACAUUUAUUUGUAGUUUUAGUGUUUGGUUUUUAGCUAAGUCCUGUUCUUGCAUUCGGCCCAAGAUCCCUUUUGCCACACCAAAAUAGUGCAUGUUCCCCCCAGCUUUUGGUACUAUCUCCGCAUAAGUAGGGGUUGACAGGAGAGUGCGGCCGUCUUUUGGCAGUUUGGAAUCUGGGAAGUGCUUGCGAAGCACGGAGAGCAGGCUGGAAAUGUGGGAAAUUGGUGUAUUUGUUGUGAUUGCCCAUUCCUUGAGCUCAUGUCUUAAGUCCCUUUGAAAACUGCCCCCCUCCUCUGAAUCUGAGCCACUGCUAGAGCUCGACAAAUCAUUGAACUCCCAGUCAUCCUCGCCAGAGGAGGCGCUCUCCUCUGAUGCCAUUACCCAAUCCCCAUCUCCGCUUUAAAUGAUCGUUUUCUAUUUCUGUGUAAGCUGGGACACUUGGUGGUGUGUCUAAUGUGUCUGCGCCAGCGGCCAGGUUAAAGUAAGUGGGCCCGCUAGCAUGAAGCGCUGCCAACGCAGCAUCCGCUCCUCUUUUAACAUGCCUUCGCAGCGACCUCUUUGAUAAAAUUAUUUUACUCUCUGCCAUUUUUUGUAAUUUUGCUGUCGUAAGAGUUCCCAUCUCUCAGACUUACCUGAUCCUCCAUCCAAACUCUGAUGUUGGAAUCCAUGCUGUCCAGUCCAUGUGAAGAGCACAGGAAGGCUUG